GGUCAAGUUAUUAAGGGUGCAGGGCGGAUGCCUUGGCACUAGGAGCCGAUGAAGGACGUGAUAAGCUGCGAUAAGCUUCGGGGAGUUGCACGUAAACUUUGAUCCGAAGAUUUCCGAAUGAGGAAACUCACUUAGAGUAAUGUCUAAGUAUCAUUAAGUGAAUACAUAGCUUAAUGAGGGGAACUCAGGGAACUGAAACAUCUAAGUACCUGAAGGAAGAGAAAGAAAUUCGAUUCCGUAAGUAGCGGCGAGCGAACGCGGAUUAGCCCAAACCAAUAAAGUUUUCUUUAUUGGGGUUGCGGACAU
rnacentral:rRNA from 1 species